rnacentral:tRNA from 1 species
GGGUUGUUAGCUCAGUUGGCAGAGGCAGUUGUGUUAUAAACCUUUGGUUGUGGGCUCGAGUCCCGUAUGACUCA